AGCAGCCGCGGUAAUUCCAGCUCCAAUAGCGUAUAUUAAAGUUGUUGCAGUUAAAAGCUCGUAGUUGAAUUUCGGGAUCAAUAUAUCGGUCGUGCCUUGGUACGUACUGGUAUCAUUGGUUUCUCCCUUCUGACGAACCAUGAUGUCAUUAAUUUGGUGUUAUGGGAAGUUAGGACUGUUACUUUGAAAAAUUAGAGUGUUUAAAGCAGGCUUUGGCUUGAAUACAUUAGCAUGGAAUAAUGAAAUAGGACGUUCGAACCUAUUUUGUUGGUUUCUAGGAUCAACGUAAUGAUUAAUAGGGAUAGUUGGGGGCAUUAGUAUUCAAUUGUCAGAGGUGAAAUUCUUGGAUUUAUUGAAGACUAACUACUGCGAAAGCAUUUGCCAAGGAUGUUUUCAUUAAUCAAGAACGAAAGUUAGGGAUCGAAGACGAUCAGAUACCGUCGUAGUCUUAACCAUAAACUAUGCCGACUAGGGAUCGGAUGAUGUUAAUUUUUUAAUGACUCAUUCGGCGCCUUACGGG
rnacentral:misc_RNA from 1 species